UCCUCCAUGGCGCAAUUGGCUAGCGCGUCUGACUGUUAUCCAGUUCAACUGGGUAGACAUCAGGAGGUUCGUGGUUCGAGCCCACGUGGGGGAG